GACGAACGCUGGCGGCGUGCCUAAUACAUGCAAGUCGAGCGAAGUUUUUCUGGUGCUUGCACCGGAAAAACUUAGCGGCGAACGGGUGAGUAACACGUAAAGAACCUGCCUCAUAGACUGGGACAACUAUUGGAAACGAUAGCUAAUACCGGAUAACAGCAUUAACUGCAUGGUUGAUGUUUAAAAGUUGGUUUUGCUAACACUAUGAGAUGGCUUUGCGGUGCAUUAGCUAGUUGGUGGGGUAAAGGCCUACCAAGGCGACGAUGCAUAGCCGACCUGAGAGGGUGAUCGGCCACACUGGGACUGAGACACGGCCCAGACUCCUACGGGAGGCAGCAGUAGGGAAUCUUCCGCAAUGGGCGAAAGCCUGACGGAGCAACGCCGCGUGAGUGAAGAAGGAUUUCGGUUCGUAAAGCUCUGUUGUUAGGGAAGAAUGAUUGUGUAGUAACUAUACACAGUAUAGACGGUACCUAACCAGAAAGCCACGGCUAACUACGUGCCAGCAGCCUCGGUAAUACGUAGGUGGCAAGCGUUGUCCGGAAUUAUUGGGCGUAAAGCGCGCGCAGGUGGUUUAUAAGUCUGAGGUGAAAGCCCACGGCUCAACCGUGGAGGUGUCAUUGGAAACUGUUAACUUGAGUGCAGGAAGAGAAAAUUGGAAUUCCUAUGUGUUGCGGUUAAAUGCUUAUAUAUUAGGAUGGAACUGCAGGGGUGAUGGCGUUUUUUUGCCUGGAUUUGACGCUGAGUCGGAAAGGGUGGUGGAGGAACAGGAUGUAUUCCCUGUUAGUCCAAGGGUAUUCCACACUGUUAUUAUGUGUGUUGUAUGCGUGCUGCCGGGGGGAUGAAAAAAUAUAACAUAUUUUGGUUCCCUGUGUGGCUGUUAUGUAUGGCUUCUGUGUGUUGCA
rnacentral:rRNA from 1 species